GACCCGCGCGCCCGCGCGGGUUUUUAUUUUUUAAAUAUAUUUUUAAACUAUUUAACGAUAUUUUUAGAAGUAUAAUUUAUUUACAUGUUUUUAGGUUGUUACAAUCUUUGACGGACAUAGGAUAGUCCGACUCCUUCCCAUUCUAGAAAUUUAUAAUAUCUUAAUUGUACUAAAGCCUUAAAAACACAAUAUCCGAAAAAACGGAUCAUAUUGUAACGGGUACUCUGAUUUACCUGUCGAUCUGAUUUUGUAAGCAAAAUAUAUUUUUUUUGGCACAAAUGAAACAUUAUUAUUAGAUUAUUCUUAUUACUUUUUAUAACUUGUGUAGUUUGUUUUCAAAAUUGUAUAACUUGUGCAAUUUUUUGUUUUAGAUGAAUUUGGACUAAUAAUAUAUGUACCACUUGUUUUGUUGUGAUUUUUUUUUUCUAAAUUUUAAAACAUAUUGAAAAUUUUAAUUCAAAAAAAAAUUAUAUGAAAUGUUAUUAAUAAUAAAUUUGUUUUCUGAUAAUUAUAUUCUCUAACUAUUUAUAUGGGACUAAACUAAUUAAGAUAAUAAUAUAUACAAAAUAGUGUUUUUUUAAUAUUUAAAAUUUCAGUUACGGAGUUUUAAUUUUUUUCACAAAAAAACAACAACCAUAAGAUGCUAUAUAAAAUAUAGUAUUCAUUAACUUUCUUUAUAUAAAAAAUGUAAAUGUCAAUUAUUUACAAAAUUAUUAUUUACAAAAUUGGGCCAUACACAUAAACUUCCUAAAUUAUUUAAACAUUACAUUAAAUCUGGCCCAUAUAAAAAUUGUAAUCAAUAUCCAUUAGCCCAACUAAUUACUCCGGGAAAGGGUUUGUUAUCUAACAUGCUAAUAAAAAACUAAAACAAUUUCAUUUUUUGCUUCUUUUUUUCUCGAUCUGUCGCUGCCUCUCUCUCUCUUUCUUAACUCUUUUGUCUUCUUCGUGUUCUUCAAUCCUUCAAACACCUAACCCAAAUACAGAAUCUGAACUACUUAUGAUUUCAUGUUCACUCUCAAUCCGGAUUAAAUACAAUCGAUCUAUUGUAUUACAGGUUGAUGCAACAUAUAAAAUGGAGCUUUCUUUGAAACAUCAUCUCCACCAUGAUUCAUCUCCGCCAUGUAACUGAUUCAGACAAUAAGCAGAUAAGUAUAAAUUUUUUAUGUUUGUUUAUUCUGUAAAAUCUCAUUUAUUAUCCUUCUUUCUCAAUUCAUUGUGUUUGUUUGUUCUGUAAAAUGUUUGAGAAUAAUUUAUAUGUUUUAUUUGAUUUAUGAGGAAAACGAAGAUUCAGUCCUUAAUUCUAACAAUUCCCUAUACGCAUUUGUCGUAGAGAAGAAAGACCAGACUCGAGAUGACCAAUUCCAUAUACGCAUUUGUCGACCAACUGGAACAAAACAAUGGACGCACUCAAGAGUAUCUCCUCCAUAGCUGGUGGUUUGUUUCCAGGAAUGAGGCAGUUUCAGAGUGAGACGCCAUUCAUCUCGGAACAGUUUGAGAUUCUUAAUAAGACAUAUUUUUCUUUCAUUUGACAUGUUUGCUGUGAGACCUUGAUGCUAAAGUCUUUGAAUGUAGUCUCAGUAUAUAUAUAUAGAUGGGUGAUGAAAUAUAGGUUAAGCUGUAUUUAUGGCGAGGAUAUAUGUAUCAACGAUAUUUUUUCCUUUCUGUUAAUAAAUAAAUCAUAUAUAUUGUAAUAUAUGUUAUUCAAACUUAGAUACUAUUGAUCU